rnacentral:rRNA from 1 species
GACGAACGCUGGCGGCGUGCUUAACACAUGCAAGUCGAACGGUAAGGCCCUUCGGGGUACACGAGUGGCGAACGGGUGAGUAACACGUGGGUGAUCUGCCCUGCACUUCGGGAUAAGCCUGGGAAACUGGGUCUAAUACCGGAUAGGACUCCUGGCUUCAUGGUGGGGGGUGGAAAGCUUUUGCGGUGUGGGAUGGGCCCGCGGCCUAUCAGCUUGUUGGUGGGGUAAUGGCCUACCAAGGCGACGACGAGUAGCCGGCCUGAGAGGGUUACCGGUCACACUGGGACUGAGAUACGGCCCAGACUCCUACGGGAGGCAGCAGUGGGGAAUAUUGCACAAUGGGCGCAAGCCUGAUGCAGCGACGCCGCGUGAGGGAUGACGGCCUUCGGGUUGUAAACCUCUUUCAGCUAUGACGAAGCGCAAGUGACGGUAGUAGCAGAAGAAGGACCGGCCAACUACGUGCCAGCCGCCGCCGUAA